GGACUACCGGGGUAUCUAAUCCUGUUUGAUCCCCGCACUUUCGUUUCUCAGCGUCAAUAUUGGUCCAGAGAGCCGCCUUCGCCACCGGUAUUCCUGCUGAUAUCUACGUAUUUCACCACUACACCAGCAAUUCUACUCUCCUCUACCAUAUUCAAGCUCUGCAGUUUCGAAUGCACUUCCAUGGUUGAGCCAUGGGAUUUCACACCCGACUUAUAGAGCCGCCUACAAACGCUUUACGCCCAGUGAUUCCGAACAACGCUAGGAUCCCUCGUCUUACCGCGGCUGCUGGCAC
rnacentral:rRNA from 1 species